UACGUAGGGACCGAGCGUUGUCCGGAAUCAUUGGGCGUAAAGAGCGUGUAGGCGGCUAUUUAAGUCCUGCGUGAAAUCCUGCGGCUCAACCUCGAGACGUCGGUGGAAACCGUAUGGCUAGAGUCCGGAAGAGGAGAGUGGAAUUCCUGGUGUAGCGGUGAAAUGCGCAGAUAUCAGGAAGAACACCCGUGGCGAAGGCGGCUCUCUGGGACGGUACUGACGCUGAGACGCGAAAGCGUGGGGAGCGAACAGG
rnacentral:rRNA from 1 species